UACGGAGGGGGCUAGCGUUGUUCGGAAUUACUGGGCGUAAAGCGCGCGUAGGCGGACCUGCAAGUCGGGGGUGAAAGCCCGCGGCUCAACCCUGGAAUGGCCUUCGAGACUGCCGGUCUUGAGUUCGAGAGAGGUGGGUGGAAUUCCGAGUGUAGAGGUGAAAUUCGUAGAUAUUCGGAGGAACACCAGUGGCGAAGGCGGCCCGCUGGCUCGACACUGACGCUGAGGUGCGAAAGCGUGGGGAGCAAACAGG
rnacentral:rRNA from 1 species